rnacentral:rRNA from 1 species
UACAGAGGGGGCAAGCGUUGUUCGGAAUUACUGGGCGUAAAGGGUGCGUAGGUGGUAUAUUAAGUUAUCUGUGAAAUACCUGGGCUCAACCUGGGCAGGUCAGAUAAUACUGAUGUACUCGAGUAUGGGAGAGGGUAGUGGAAUUUCCGGUGUAGCGGUGAAAUGCGUAGAGAUCGGAAGGAACACCGGUGGCGAAGGCGGCUACCUGGCCUAAUACUGACACUGAGGCACGAAAGCGUGGGGAGCAAACAGG